rnacentral:rRNA from 1 species
CCUACGGGUGGCAGCAGUGGGGAAUAUUGGACAAUGGGGGCAACCCUGAUCCAGCAAUUCUGUGUGCACGAAGAAGGUUUUCGGAUUGUAAAGUGCUUUCAGCAAGGAAGAAGAAAGUGACGGUACCUGCAGAAGAAGCGACGGCUAAAUACGUGCCAGCAGCCGCGGUAAUACGUAUGUCGCAAGCGUUAUCCGGAAUUAUUGGGCAUAAAGGGCAUCUAGGCGGCCAGACAAGUCUGGGGUGAAAACUUGCGGCUCAACCGCAAGCCUGCCCUGGAAACUGUCUGGCUAGAGUGCUGGAGAGGUGGACGGAACUGCACGAGUAGAGGUGAAAUUCGUAGAUAUGUGCAGGAAUGCCGAUGAUGAAGAUAGUUCACUGGACGGCAACUGACGCUGAAGUGCGAAAGCUAGGGGAGCGAACAGGAUUAGAUACCCCUGUAGUC